GAAUUACAAAACAAUAUUUAUUUUAUAUGUAAGAUUACAUAUGUCAGGAGGUUCUAUUCAUAAACAGUGGAUCUAACACAUCAAGUGACAUCUAAAAAUCAUUAGUUAAUUAUAAGUUUAUUCUGAAAAAUUUAUUUUUAUUACUUUUAUUUCCACAAAGUCAUUGUUACUGAAGUCCAGAUUUUUACAUGAUAAAUAUUCUGUUGACAUUAAAGCCAAAUUAGAUAAACUCUUCUUGAAUCACUGUAGUCUUAAAGUAGAUUUUUUUUCCUAAUUUAAAUUUAGAAAACUUCAUUCUGCUAAAGUAGUAGUAACUAGAAUUGUCACUAAAAUCUUAAACCAAUUACUGUAAUUUGAAAAUAAAUGAACUUUACAUAUCAUAUCUAAAUCUUGCAAUGGUGUUGCAUACAACGAUGUAUCUGUCGCAGAAUAUCUUAAUUUUAUCAAAUAAAGCCCUACCAAUUAAAUUGUAAAUAUUUUCAUUCCUUAAUUCAUUUCUUAAGUUUUUCUGCAUUCAGAAUUUUCAUGUUUGUACAGAAAACUGAAAACAGCAGUGUGUUGCUACUUUAUUCCAAAUUUGGAAUGGGAAAGGUUUGCAUCCUGAAAGAGCACCUGGAGUGGAAGGGAGAGUCAGGUGAAACAGGUUCAGUGAGAGGCUGUGUGCUCAACAGGGUGGAGUCCUGCUUUGAAACCAGCCUGCUGCUCUGCACACAUUCUUCCAAGAUGGGCCCGGAGGUUCCUUCAAAGCAACACGGACUAUGGAUUUAGGGGUUCAAGACUCCUCCAGCUCUCCCUCUGCUUCUGCCGCUGCAGCAGGGAUUGGAGGCGUUGCUUGCAGUGGGCUCUCUCCCCAUUUCGCCUUCAUGUCUCCCUAUUCUGUUUUGCCUUUUGAUCCUCCUAAUCCUAGUCUCAUUAAUUUCUUCCAUUGUAUUCCUUCAGCGUCUUCCUUUUCCUCGGAUUUCCCACUUUCUUACUGAUUGGAUCCCAGUGAAGACCCCAAGAUUGCAGCCAUCUUGACUGCCCUGACUCAGCAUUCCUGGAUUCGCCAGUUCCCGCCAUCCCAGCGGCCAUCUUGGCUACCCUGACUUGGCAUUUUCACCUGUUCCCGCCAUUUAUUCCCGCCAUCUCGGCAGCCACCUCGGAUACCCUGACUCAGCAUUUCCGGGUCCACCUUUCUUGUUCCCGCCGCCUCAGUGAACACGCAUGCCCACUAAAGCACAUCACUAAGGCACAUCACUCAUCUAUAUAAGCGCGCUGCACCUUUGGCACAGCGCGACUUCCCUGACCCUCCCCCUGCAGACCACUGAACCUCGCCGGAGAGCUCAAUUAAGAAGAUUUUUGCCCUCUUUGUCUCGCCUCUCGGCCUUAUUGAUCCACGGUGCCCUUCCAUUGCCUUUCAUUGGUGCCAAAACCCGGGAAGGGACACCUCCUAAGCCCCCCAGAGGCUCGAGGGGACUCCCCUCCUGGUCAGAUCAGGCUUCUUCCCCACGGCUACCCAUCCGUUUCGUUCGGUUACUUGCCACCAGGUUGCAGCUGCUGCAGCCACUCCAGUCCAAUUCGGCUGACGCUGGCACGGCAGCAUGCCAAUCAAUUACAUCUAACAGACCCCAACGUACCCGUUGGAACACAGGCGGUUCCAUCCACCGAUCCAGAGUGGGAUUACCAAGUUGGGCAAGCAGGGCGUCGCCGCCGGGACAUAAUGGUUCAAUGCCUCCUGGCAGGGAUGCAGGUGGCCUCCAAUAAAUCAGUCAACUUUGACAAACUAAAGGAAAUUGUACAAUACCCGGAUGAAAAUCCGGCAGUCUUCCUAAAUCGGCUGACUGAUGCCUUAGUCCACUAUACCCGCCUAGAUCCGGCCUCCCCUGCAGGGGCAACCAUCUUGGCAACAUAUUUUAUUUCCCAGUCAGCAAGAGAUAUUAGAAAAAAACUAAAAUAGGCGGAGGAAGGCCUCCAAACCCCUAUUCAGGACUUAGUAAAGCUGGCGUUCAAAGUUUUUAAUUCCCGAGAGGAGGCGGCUGAGGUACAACAACAGGCAAGAUUAAAACAAAAAGUUCAGCUCCAAACCCAGGCCCUGGCGGCUGCCGUGCAACCGGCAUUCCCUAAGAGCCCAGGCAAGAAAGGUAGAGGUACAAUCUCCCGGGCCCCAUCUGGCGCCUGCUUCAAGUGCGGCAACUCGGGACACUGGGCCAGCCGGUGCCCUAGCCAACAGCAACCGUCCUGCCUGCCUUACAACUGUUUCAAGUGCGGCAAUCCAGGUCAUUGGGCAAAGCAGUGCCCAAACCCCAAGCCGCCAAUGCGCCCGUGCCCUAACUGCCGACAAAUGGGGCACUGGAGGUCAGACUGCCCCGGCCUCAGAGCGGCCGCUGUGUCUCCACAUGGCGACCCCUCCCCGGAUGGUGAAGGCGCCUUCCAGCUCCUCCAACUGGACGAUGACUGAAGAGGCCCAGACUCGGGAACCCCUCUCACCCUUGCCAAGCUCAGGGUAAUGCUUCAGGUAGCAGAUGAGAUCGGCAGCUUGGGGCCAGGUGCAGUGGAUCACGCCUGUAAUCCCAGGACUUUGAGAGGCCGAGGCGGGCAGAUCACCUGAGAUCGGGAGUUCAAGACACAGCCUGAGCAACAUGAAGAAACCCCGUCUCUACUAAAAAUACAAAAUUAGGAGCUCUCCCUCUUCCUCUCCCUCUCCCUCUCCCCACGGUCUCCCUCUCCCUCUCUUUCCACGGUCUCCCUCUCAUGCUGAGCCGAAGCUGGACUGUACUGCUGCCAUCUUGGCUCACUGCAACCUCCCUGCCUGAUUCUCCUGACUCAGCCUGCCGAGUGCCUGCGAUUGCAGGCUCGCGCCGCCACGCCUGACUGGUUUUGGUGGAGACGGGGUUUCGCCGUGUUGGCCAGGCCGGUCUCCAGUCCCUAACCGCAGGUGAUCCGCCAGCCUCGGCCUCCCGAGGUGCCGGGAUUGCAGACGGAGUCUCGUUCACUCAGUGCUCAAUGGUGCCCAGGCUGGAGUGCAGUGGCGUGAUCUCGGCUCGCUACAACCUCCACCUCCCAGCUGCCUGCCUUGGCCUCCCAAAGUGCCAAGAUUGCAGCCUCUGCCCGGCUGCCACGCCGUCUGGGAAGUGAGGAGCGUCUCUGCCUGGCCGCCCAUCGUCUGGGAUGUGAGGAGCCCCUCUGCCUGGCUGCCCAGUCUGGAAAGUGAGGAGCGUCUCCGCCCGGCCGCCAUCCCACCUAGGAAGUGAGGAGCACCUCUUCCUGGCUGCCAUCACAUCUAGGAAGUGAGGAGCGUCUCUGCCCGGCCGCCCAUCGUCUGAGAUGUGGGGAGCGCCUCUGCCCCGCCACCCCGUCUGGGAUGUGAGGAGCACCUCUGCCCGGCCACCACCCCGUCUGGGAGGUGUGCCCAACAGCUCAUUGAGAACGGGCCAAGAUGACAAUGGAGGCUUUGUGGAUAGAAGGGCGGGAAAGGUGGGGAAAAGAUUGAGAAAUCGGAUGGUUGCCGUGUCUGUGUAGAAAGAAGUAGACAUGGGAGACUUUUCAUUAUGUUCUGUACUAAGAAAACUUCUUCUGCCGUGGGAUCCUGUUGAUCUGUGACCUUACCCCCAACCCUGUGCUCUCUGAAACAUGUGCUGUGUUCACUCAGGGUUAAAUGGAUUAAGGGCGGUGCAAGAUGUGCUUUGUUAAACAGAUGCUUGAAGGCAGCAUGCUCGUUAAGAGUCAUCACCACUCCCUAAUCUCAAGUACCCAGGGACACAAACACUGCGGAAGGCCGCGGGGUCCUCUGCCUAGGAAAACCAGAGACCUUUGUUCACUUGUUUAUCUGCUGACCUUCCCUCCACUAUUGUCCUAUGACCCUGCCAAAUCUCCCUCUGUGAGAAACACCCGAGAAUUAUCAAUAAAAAAUAAAUAAAUUAAAAAAAAAAAAAAAGUUCCGUUAUCUUCUUACUCUAGUAGAUACUUUCUCAGGUUGGAUUGAAGCCUAUCCCACCACUCAUGAAACAGCAGAGGUGGUAGCUUCAACCCUCAUUGAACACAUAAUCCCGAGAUUUGGCCUCCCUCGGACAAUCCAAUCUGAAAAUGGGCCUGCUUUUAUCUCCAAGAUAGUCAAACAGGUGACAACCACACUUGGCGUUAACUGGAAGCUACACACUCCAUACCAUCCACAGUCUUCUGGAAAAGUGGAACGCGCCAACGGCCUUGUCAAACAACACCUAAUCAAACUGGCUCUGGAGACACGCCAAUC
rnacentral:lncRNA from 1 species